UACAGAGGUCUCAAGCGUUGUUCGGAUUCAUUGGGCGUAAAGGGUGCGUAGGCGGCGCGGUAAGUCGGGUGUGAAAUCUUGGAGCUUAACUCCGAAACUGCAUUCGAUACUGCCGUGCUUGAGGACUGGAGAGGAGACUGGAAUUUACGGUGUAGCGGUGAAAUGCGUAGAUAUCGUAAGGAAGACCAGUGGCGAAGGCGGGUCUCUGGACAGUUCCUGACGCUGAAGCACGAAGGCCCAGGGGGAGCAAAACGGGG
rnacentral:rRNA from 1 species